rnacentral:rRNA from 1 species
GACGAACGCUGGCGGCGUGGAUUAGGCAUGCAAGUCGGACGGUAGGGCUUUAUCGUAAGAUAGAGUUUGAGAGUGGCGAACGGGUGAGUAACACGUAGGAAUCUACCCUUAAGACGGGGACAACCCAGGGAAACUUGGGCUAAUACCGGAUGAGAGUGCGAGAGAUUGCAUUUAAAAGGAUGGCGAAAGUUGUCGCUUAGGGAUGAGCCUGCGGUCUAUUAGUUAGUUGGUGAGGUAAGAGCUCACCAAGGCGAUGAUAGAUAGGCGGCCUUAACGGGUGGUCGCCCACACUGGGAUUGAGAUACGGCCCAGACUCCUACGGGAGGCAGCAGUGAGGAAUAUUGGACAAUGGGCGCAAGCCUGAUCCAGCCAUGCCGCGUGCAGGAUGAAGCAUCUAUGGUGUGUAAACUGCUUUUGUACGAGAAGAAACACUGCAACGUGUUGCAGCUUGACGGUAUCGUAAGAAUAAGGAUCGGCUAACUCCGUGCC